rnacentral:rRNA from 1 species
AUUUUGGACAAUGGGGGAAACCCUGAUCCAGCCAUCCCGCGUGAAUGAUGAAGGCCUUCGGGUUGUAAAGUACUUUUGGCAGAGAAGAAAAUGUAUCCCCUAAUACGGGAUACCGCUGACGGUAUCUUCAGAAUAAUCACCGGAUAACUACGUGCCAUCAGCCGCGGUAAUACUUAGGGUGCAAGCGUUAAUCGGAAUUACUGUGCGUAAAGGUUGUGUAGGCGGUUCGGAAAGAAAGAUGUGAAAUCCAAGGGCUCAACCUUAGAACUGCAUUUUUAACUGCCGAGCUAGAGUAUGUCAGAGGGGGGUAGAAUUCCACGUGUAGCAGUGAAAUGCGUAGAUAUGUGGAGGAAUACCAAUGGCGAAGGCAGCCCCCUGGGAUAAUACUGACGCUCAGACACGAAAGCGUGGGGAGCAAACAGG